rnacentral:rRNA from 1 species
GAUGAACGCUAGCUACAGGCUUAACACAUGCAAGUCGAGGGGAAACGAUAGAGAAAGCUUGCUUUUUCUAGGCGUCGACCGGCGCACGGGUGAGUAACGCGUAUCCAACCUGCCCAUCACUUGGGGAUAACCUUGCGAAAGUAAGACUAAUACCCAAUGACGUCUCUAGAAGACAUCUGAAAGAGAUUAAAGAUUUAUCGGUGAUGGAUGGGGAUGCGUCUGAUUAGCUUGUUGGCGGGGUAACGGCCCACCAAGGCGACGAUCAGUAGGGGUUCUGAGAGGAAGGUCCCCCACAUUGGAACUGAGACACGGUCCAAACUCCUACGGGAGGCAGCAGUGAGGAAUAUUGGUCAAUGGGCGAGAGCCUGAACCAGCCAAGUAGCGUGCAGGAUGACAGCCCUAUGGGUUGUAAACUGCUUUUAUAAGGGAAUAAAGUGAGUCUCGUGAGACUUUUUGCAUGUACCUUAUGAAUAAGGACCGGCUAAUUCCGUGCCAGCAGCCGCCGUAACAC